rnacentral:lncRNA from 1 species
CUUUUUUGAGACAGGGUCUUGCUCUGUUGCCCACGCUGGAGUGCAGUGGUGAGAUCAGGGCUCACUGCAGCCUCCACCUUGUGGGCUCAAGCCAUCCUCCCACCUCAGCCUCCCAAGUAGCUGGGACUACAGGCGUGUGCAACCACAUCUGGCUAGUUUCUGUAUGUUUUGUGAAGACGGGGUCCCACUAUGUGGCCCAGGUUGGUCUUGAACACCUGGGGUCAAGUAGUCCUCCUGCCUUAGCCUCCUAAAGUGCUGGGAUGACAGGCCUGAGCCCCGCGCCCGGCCAGCCUCCUGUGCGAGGUUGUGCGUGUGCGGGACUCUGUCGUGGAACCCAGUAUGCCUUCGUAUGCUGGCUUGUUUGUUGACUCUGUAGUUAACGGGCUGCCCCACGUGGGCAGGCACUGGGUCGUCUGUGUCUCUGUGUGCAGGCAGAGGCUGCUGCGGGUGCAUCUGUGCACAUGGCUGCCAGGAGGGGCUGUGCUCAGGGGGAGCUGGGGCAGAGGCUGGUGGCAAUGGGGGGCUUGGGUGUAGUGUGGAGGCACGAGAGCCAGGUGGCUGGGCUGCAGUCUGCGGGAGCUCGGGGGUCGCUUGGCCUCUGUGUGUCCCAGUGUCUUUGUCGGUGUGAUGGGACAAUGACAGCCCACCCUCACAGGUGCUGGGGACUGACAAAUGUCAGGUCUGAGGACAGUGGCUGGCCCACUACGGGGCCAGUUUCCCUUCUCUAUAGUCACCCUGCUCGUCUUCCAUCAACUGGGUGCUCAGGACAGUGGCAUGGUGGAUCCGCCUGUACAGCCUGUGCUCCAGCAUCUUGCAGGCCACAGCUGUGUCCAGCCCUGACCCCGACUGCCCCUCCCGCCACCUCCAUUUUAUAGAUGAGGAAACCGAGGCCCAAGGGCUUAGGGAACUGUGCUCUGAAGCACAUAGUAGGGCUGCUGGGCUCAGACCCUCCCUCCCUGUGCUGAGCUGCCCUCCUCCUGCCGCAAGCCCCCCACACCCCGAGCCCACCCUGCUCAAUGGCCUGUGCCCGAGUUCCCUGCAUGGUGUGGGAGUGUGGGACAUCCUAGCUUUUCCCCGGCGCCCAGUUCUUUCACUUCCACUGGAGUCCUGCAGGGACAGCUCAGGGACCAUGCAGGCCCGGGUGGGCGUGGGGGCUCAGCUAGCUUGGUGGUGAACAGCUGGCACGUCUCUGGGUUGUGGACGGUAAAGGCCAUGUAGACCUCAGGAGUCCGCUUGUGCUCCUGGCAGGCAGCCAGCCUCCACAGGACCCCGACCAGCGACACGAUGGCUUCUGGGCAAUACAGCAUGUCUACGGUGAAAGCUUCAGGUUACUGAAAGGGACAAGUGGAAAGUUCCAGUUCAUGCUGACCUCAGGAGCAGGGCGAGGCCAGAGAGGCAGCGGUCCUAUGAGACUAUUAGAUGCCAUUUGACUAUUUGGGCCAUUAGAUGGAAAGGCAAUUACUUGGGUGAAAAAGGAGAACCCUUAGUAGAGAAAGCUGCAAAAGACCGAAGCAAAAGAAAAAAAUCUCCAGACUCACUGGUGUUCCUUAAAAAACCAGCUCUGGUUCUCGGCCUCUCUAGAGGGCUUUGAAUGACAGAAAGCCUGACCCUGCCGUGAACUUCGUGUUUCAGGUGUCUGCCGAUUGGUCUGCUGGCUUGCAGGGGUGGGCCUGUGUCCCUGGCCACCGCUGGACCUGUGGUUUUCAGGGCUGGGACCCAGGACCACAGGCAGAGCUCUGCUCCACCAGAGAGGGGACUGAGUGUGCUGGCAGGGGCGAGGGGUUUUUGGUGGCCCAGCCAAACACCACCUUCUCUCAAGGGCCCUGUCCUCGUCCCAGAAGUGGUUGUUUUCCUCCUGUGGUCUCUGAAGGACACAGGGCAUGGCUCUGGGACAGAGCUAUGUGCCGACGACUGUAACGGGAGUAUGCCUGUCUCCAAGAGGGCUGUGGCUUGAAGGUCACCUUAAGAGGCACCCCUGUCCUUUGAUGUCACCCUGGAGGCCCAGAGUAACUCUUCUGGAAGCCCCAUCAUGUCCAUGCCCGACAGCGUCCAUUGUUCCCUUUUCCCAGAGCCAAGAGCUGGGUAGAGCUGCAAGGACACCACCUGCACAGGAUGCCCGGGGCUGGGCAUUACCUGCUGCAAUGACAAUAUCUGGCUGGAAGGCAGAGAGCUGAUGGACCAUCGCUACGUCCUAGUCCAGCUGGGCCACUGUCACCCUGGGGCUGUCUAAGUUGGCAGUGAUGUCUGCCUCUAAUGAGAGGCCAUUGAGAAGUACAUUCCCUCGGAGCUGCUCGAGGAUCCGGCUGUGAGGGUCGCUGAAGAUGUAUGCCCAGGGGUGGCACAUCUUGCAGAUGGCAAGGCCUGUGAGGCCGGCACCACUGCCAAGUUCAAGGACAGUCCUGGCGGGAGGAAAGGGGACCGUGUCUUCGACUGCACCAGGGUAAGCCUGCCUCGGUGCCCUGCCCUGUGCCCCGAGGUCACCUGUUAGUGAAGGCUGCCGGGUUCUCGAUGGCCCAUUCUGCAAGGUGGCGUCCCAUGUGACCAGGCCUGUGGUACCGUGGGAGAUGAUGGCUGUGCUCUCAGAGAGUGUGACCGAGCCUCCCGAGGGCUGCACCAAGAGAGGGCGAGAGAGUCAGUCCAGCGAUCAGAAGGUAAGUGGCUUAGAAGACAAGUAGCCAUCCACCACAUGGCUGAAUAAACCAUGACAGGACCAAUCGCCACUCAGCAAUGAGAAGCAGCUAACUGUUGACAUACCAACAGCUUUCACGGGCCUCAAGGGUGUCACGUGGCAUGAAAGACACUCAUCUCAGGCCACACAGGAUUCCAUUCAUCGAACAUUCCUGAGACAAUGGAAUUCUGGUGAUGGAGCACAGGUCAGUGGUGGCCAGGGGCCAGGUGUGGCUAUGAAGGGGUGGCUGCCUUGUGAUGAUUCAAUAUGCUAUGUUUUUCCUUUGUGGUUUUCUGUAUCUAUGUUUUAUCUUAUUUUUUUUUUUUUUGAGCUCUGUCCCCCAGGCUGGAGUCAGUGGCACGAUCUUGGCUCACUGCAACCUCUGCCUCCUGGGUUCAAGCAAUUCUCCUGCCUCACCUGCCCAAGUAGCUGUGACUACAGGUGUGUCUGCUACUGCCUACUAAGGAAUGGCUUCUCGACAUCCUCAUGUCAAACCCUGCAUGUUUGGGCCCGUCUUUAAAAUCCAUCCUAGGCCAGGUGCAGUGGCU